rnacentral:lncRNA from 1 species
AACACUGCAAUGGGAUACCAGCUGCAGCGGCUGCCAUGGCAGGGCUGGUCCCACCGGAGGAGGCACCCUGGCACCCCUGACUCCCAGGAUGAGUCCCAGGGAACACCAGGGUGGAGUCAGGGGCAGGGAGACUCUUGGGGACUCUGAGGGAGCCACAGCCCAGGGAGACCUCCCAAGAAGACCUCCCAAGAAUCAAGCCCAGCCUGUGGACCUGGGGUGCUGAUGCUCACCAAGGGAGGCAGCGAUCCUCCUGGCGGCUGGCAGAGACCGGGCCUGCAGCACAGACUGUUUCCUCGGAUGGGGUACCCUGAGGCCUUGAUAGGGUGAAGGCAUAUCAAGAAGUCUGACUGUGGUCAUGGAGCACUCAUGGGAAGAAGGGGUGUUACCAGCACUAGAAAAUCCGACAUCUUUUCUUUUCACCAUUCCUAGAGGUGUCCCCCAGGCCACAUGUGCAGCCUCAAACUUGGACUCCUGCAGUCUCUCUCCCAGGUCUUCUCACCUCUGCCCAAGCCAGCUCCUACGCCUGAUGUGGGCCCAUCUUCCUCCCCCACCGUCUCCCCUCCAGCUCAACAUAAGCUACCAAGGGGUCCCUCCCUGCUCAUCAGCCUUUCAGCUGUCACUUAACAGGGUGCUCCUGCCCAUUCUCCAAGUGCCUCCUCCAACAGGCAGACUUCCCUGGCCACCACCUCAUAUUCUGCCAGCUCUAAGACUCAUCAUCAGGACCCCUUGUUCCACUUUCACCUUAUUAUUGAUGUUUUCCAAGUGUGUGUCUUGUUUUCUCAACAAAUUACACACAGUAUAAUACCACCACCCAUACUGGCUGAGAUGUCCUGAGUUCUUGCUUACUCUGUGCCAGGCACAGGACAGCUUCUUCUCUGAGGAGGGAAAUGGUAUAAAAGACUAAGCAUAGGGCCCAGCACACAGUCAGUGCUCAAGCAGGGCAGGAGUUUCUCAGAUCUGCUCAAACACCACUGGCAGGUGGAUAAAUUGGUGUACUCUUUCUGGAAAGCCAUUUCCAUUAUGUAUUCAA